rnacentral:rRNA from 1 species
AUACGUAGGGGGCGAGCGUUGUCCGGAAUGACUGGGCGUAAAGGGCGCGUAGACGGCUGUCUAAGUCUGGAGUGAAAGUCCUGCUUUCAAGGUGGGAAUUGCUUUGGAGACUGGAUGGCUUGAGUGCGGAAGAGGUAAGUGGAAUUCCCAGUGUAGCGGUGAAAUGCGUAGAGAUUGGGAAGAACACCAGUGGCGAAGGCGACUUACUGGGCCGUAACUGACGUUGAAGCACGAAAGCGUGGGGAGC